UGUAAGCGUAUACCAAAGUUGUUGCAGUUAAAACGCUCGUAGUCGGAAUUUGGCAGUUCCGGAUGUGUGCACGUCGUGUGCGCACUUCGCGGGGAUUGCUUCUGUGGUCUUGCGUAGGAUGAGGCACUUUUAUUAGUGAACGUCCUCACGCAACCACUUUUUACUGUGAGAAAAUCAGAGUGCUCAAAGCAGGCAUUUGCCGUGAAUGUAUUAGCAUGGAAUAAUAGAAUAGGACUUGGUUCUAUUUUGUUGGUUUGUUGGGACUGAGUAAUGAUUAAGAGGGACAGUUGGGGGCAUUUGUAUUUCGGUGCUAGAGGUGAAAUUCUUAGAUUACCGAAAGACAAACUGCUGCGAAAGCGUCUGCCAAGGAUGUUUUCAUUGA
rnacentral:rRNA from 1 species